GCCGGGGCGGGGCGCGAGAGGCAUGGAGGAGGCGGAGGCCGCGGAGGCCGCGGCGCGCGGGGCCGAGCUGUGCGGGCCCGAGCGCGGCCCGAGCGGGGCCCGGGGCCCCUGAGCCUCCCCUCAGAUUCCUGAAGUCAUGGACUGGCCGGGACAGGGGUGACUCCCUAAUCCAGUAUGGAUGACUGGAAGCCCAGUCCCCUCAUCAAGCCCUUUGGGGCUAGGAAGAAACGGAGCUGGUACCUUACCUGGAAGUAUAAACUGACAAACCAGCGGGCCCUGAGGAGAUUCUGUCAGACAGGGGCUGUGCUUUUCCUGCUGGUGACCGUCAUUGUCAACAUCAAGUUGAUCCUGGACACUCGGAGAGCAAUCAGCGAGGCCAAUGAAGACCCAGAACCAGAGCAAGACUAUGAUGAGGCCCUAGGACGUCUGGAGUCCCCUCGGCGCAGAGGCAGCAGUCCCCGACGGGUGCUGGAUGUGGAAGUAUACUCCAGUAGAAGCAAAGUGUAUGUGGCUGUGGAUGGCACCACGGUGCUCGAGGAUGAAGCCCGGGAGCAGGGCCGAGGCAUCCAUGUCAUAGUCCUCAACCAGGCCACGGGCCACGUGAUGGCAAAGCGCGUGUUUGACACAUACUCUCCUCAUGAGGAUGAGGCCAUGGUGCUGUUCCUCAACAUGGUGGCCCCCGGCCGCGUGCUGAUCUGCACGGUGAAGGAUGAGGGUUCCUUCCACCUCAAGGACACAGCAAAGGCUCUGCUGAGGAGCCUGGGAAGUCAGGCAGGCCCUGCCCUUGGCUGGAGGGACACCUGGGCCUUCGUGGGACGAAAAGGAGGUCCUGUACUUGGCGAGAAACAUUCUAAAUCUCCUGCCCUCUCCUCCUGGGGUGACCCAGUCCUGCUGAAGACAGAUGUGCCACUGAGCUCAGCUGAAGAGGCUGAGUGUCACUGGGCAGAUACGGAGUUGAACCGCCGCCGCAGGCGCUUCUGCAGCAAAGUGGAGGGCUACGGGAGCGUGUGCAGCUGCAAGGACCCGACGCCUAUUGAGUUCAGCCCUGACCCACUUCCAGACAAUAAGGUCCUCAAUGUGCCUGUGGCUGUCAUUGCAGGGAACCGGCCCAAUUACCUGUACAGGAUGCUGCGCUCUCUGCUCUCAGCCCAAGGGGUAUCUCCACAGAUGAUAACGGUCUUCAUUGAUGGCUACUAUGAGGAGCCAAUGGAUGUGGUGGCGCUGUUUGGUCUGAGAGGCAUCCAGCAUACUCCUAUCAGCAUCAAGAACGCCCGUGUGUCUCAGCACUACAAGGCCAGCCUCACUGCCACUUUCAACCUGUUUCCGGCUAGGGUGGGUAGUGCCUGAACACUAGGUCUGAAGACAGAUCCGUGGGAUAAGAGCAACCUCCUUGGAACCAUGAUGUUCCCUCCCGUCCCUGUAGGAGGCCAAGUUUGCUGUGGUUCUGGAAGAGGACCUGGACAUUGCCGUGGAUUUUUUCAGUUUCCUGAGCCAGUCCAUCCACCUGCUGGAGGAAGAUGACAGCCUGUACUGCAUCUCUGCCUGGAAUGACCAGGGGUAUGAACACACAGCUGAGGAUCCAGCACUACUGUACCGUGUGGAGACCAUGCCUGGGCUAGGAUGGGUGCUCAGGAAAUCUUUAUACAAGGAGGAGCUUGAGCCCAAGUGGCCCACACCAGAAAAGCUGUGGGAUUGGGACAUGUGGAUGCGGAUGCCGGAACAGCGCCGGGGCCGAGAGUGUAUCAUCCCGGAUGUUUCCCGAUCCUACCACUUUGGCAUCGUCGGCCUCAACAUGAACGGCUACUUUCAUGAGGCCUACUUCAAGAAGCACAAGUUCAACACAGUUCCAGGUGUCCAGCUCAGGAAUGUAGACAGUCUGAAGAAAGAAGCUUAUGAAGUGGAAAUUCACAGACUGCUCAGUGAGGCCGAGGUUUUGGACCACAGCAAGGACCCUUGUGAAGACUCCUUCCUGCCAGACACGGAGGGCCACACCUAUGUGGCGUUUAUCCGAAUGGAGACAGAUGAUGACUUCGCCACCUGGACUCAGCUUGCCAAGUGCCUCCAUAUUUGGGACCUGGAUGUUCGUGGCAACCACCGGGGCCUGUGGAGAUUAUUUCGGAAGAAGAACCACUUUUUGGUGGUGGGGGUCCCAGCCUCCCCUUACUCAGUGAAGAAGCCACCAUCAGUCACCCCUAUUUUCCUGGAGCCACCCCCAAAGGAAGAAGGAGCCCCAGGGGCUGCUGAACAAACGUGAAGCCUCCUCCAGGACUCUGCAGGGCUGGGUACUGUGUACCCCCAGACAGGCUAGCCCGUUGCCCUACCCUGUAGGAUUUAGUAGAUGCUGGUAGGGGUAGGGCUGGUUUGUUUUUAACAUGGAAUUUAAUUACUAACUCCAAGGGGAAGGAUCCCCUGCCCCAACACCCCUAUUCCUGAGUUUAAGGUCUAUUUAUUUACUUCCUUGUCAAAGAAGAGCAGGAGAGUUCCCAGGACCUCUUUGGGAUCCCUGGGUAGCUGAUCCACUCUUUUCAUACCCUGUCCUCCCAGGCCUGGCUCAGAACCUAUUUAUUGACUGUCCUGGGGGCCUUGGGAAUAGGCCCAACCCGGGGCCUUUAUUCCUCUCUGGACCAGGAUGCUGCCCUGAGGGUGGGACUGGCUCAUACUCAGGAAAACUGUUGUGCCCAACUGAUGGACAGGCCCAUAUGGGGUCCAUGUGCUGACAGACUCACACAGAGACCUUUAGACACUGGACCAGGUCUCCUCUUAGCCUUCUCUUUGUCCAGAUUUCCAAAACUGGAUAAAGAUGGUCAUUGAUUAAAAAAGAAGAAAACCUC